rnacentral:lncRNA from 1 species
CCUGGAAGCCCCUGGGGAGUAGCUGAGACCCUAGUAGAUGGGCCUCUUAGGAGCUUUGCAGAGCUUUGCUCUCCAGCCCCACACUCCUGACCACUCCUUCCAGCUGAGCAAAAAAGCGCUUUCUCGAAAGGAGAUGAAGUUCAUGCUGUCUGCUGGAAGAAGGAAAGGGGGACAGCACCUCUUGGGAACUGCUGACACCAGAAAUGAAGAUGGAUUUUUCUGCAGGUCCUAUUACAGAAGCUUUGUGAAUAUUACUCUCACUAACUCUGGUUUGCUACGGCCACAAACAGCUGGAUGUAUUUCUUUCCCUCAUCCACGGCUCCUGACCUGGCAUCCUGACUCAUGGACUGCUGUCACCUGUCAUACCAGAUUUUGGUCCUGGUAACCCAUACCAGCCAUCUUGUCCUGGCAACCUCAUCAUCUCGGUGAGCUUUACUUAGCGGUUGAAAUAGAGCCCAAAGAUAGGAGCCCAGUAUUUGGAGUUCGAUAUACUUGAGUUUGGAUUAAGUGCCACAAUUUACUACCUGUUGGAUCUUAGACAACUUUUCUGGGGUCCAGAUUCCUCACCUGCAAAAUGGAGAAGACAAUAAUACCUAACCAGCAAGGUUAUGGUACAGGUGAAAAGACAUGGUGAAUGUAAGCUCUUGGCACAUGGUAGGCACUCAAUAAGUGGUAGCCUGAAAAAAACCAUGCCAAGGUGUAAAGUCUUCUCAGCUCCUUUUUCAAACUGCAAAAUCACCAUAUCUGAGCAGGGGCAAUUUGGGGGGGAUGGAGAGGGCAGGAGGGGUAAUGAUCGGGGCUGUCUUCCAGUCCCAGGCUCCUAGAUGCAGGCUGAGGGCGAGAACCUCCAUCUCCGUUCCCCAUUAAGCCCACACAUAUCCCUUCAGGCCAACUCUGGAGAACCCUCUGUUUCCUGGGAGAAUGCCUAGGCCUUGGUGAAAGCCCGCAGGCCUGCCAUUCGCCUCAGGGAAGGACGGAUUCCCCAGGGCACGUCCUGAGAGCAGAGUGGACCAGGGAAAGGUGACCCUGCAUGGAACCCUGGCCACAUCUGUCCUGAGGAAGCUCCAGCUUCCAAAUGUUUUGGGCCAUGGGGAAAACCCUGAACACAGAGUCCCUUGGGGCCAUGGUCUGCUCCGUGUUCAAAUUAGCCUGAUGUAUCAGCACAGGCUGUCCCCUCUGAGGAGCCGGCCAUGACUGAGUAUGAGGUGUUGGCAAACAUCACAACUUCACUCCCCUUGUUUGGGGUGGCAUCCCUGAGCUCCUGGCUGGUAAGCAUAGUAGUGAGGGGGAGGGGAGUAUGUAACAAGGAGGAUCGAAGACGUGGGCACACAUGUAUAAGCACACUCGCAGACACAGACGCACCCACACACAUGCCGGCCCUGUAUGCAGAGGAAAACAGCUGGCUGGGACCAGAAACCCUACCUGAAGCCUUGCAGAUGCCUAAUAAUAGUAACUGAGCCAGCAUUUACAGAGCAUUAACCAUGUGCCAGGCACUGGGCUAACCUCUUCACGUUCUUUAUUUCAUUAAAUCCUUUCCAUGACCCCCAGAAGUGAGCAUUAGUAUUCCUUUUUACAGAUGAUGGAAUGAAGCCCAAGGGUCAAGUAACUUGCCCAAGGCCAUACAGAAUGUGAAGAGCCAGCAUUCCCUCCCAAAUCUGUCUGAUUUCAAAACCCUAUUAUCCCGCUGCCCACCUGGGGGCUACAACAGACGCAAGGAAAGAUUCAAAGGGGAUAGAAGAUUCUCCAGGCAAACUCAUUGGUUCUUAGAGGGAGGCCUGGAGAGGACCAGCCUCAAAAUCACCUGGGGAAGUCACUGAAAGUACAAGUUCUUGGGCCCCAUCCCCUCUCUCUAUGCACCCCCUUCCUCCAGCUAUUGAUUCAAUGGGUUUGGGGGCCUAGGAACAGGCAUUUUAACAAACUGCCUAACUCCUAUGAAAAUAGCUUCCUUUCUCAUUAUAAAAUAAUGAUACUCUUCCUUGUAAGAUCUUUGAAUCCAUGUAGGACUCAGGACUCUGCAUUCUCCCGGAGAGACCUAUGUUCACUAAAGUUUGAAAGCACUUGCUCAGGGGUUUGAACACACGGCCUUCCUUAUGUCAUUCCCAGGGAUCUGCACAGAGGACCCUGAGGACUCCACAGUCUGGAGUUUGGUAGGAGGGUGCACCCCCUCCAGCUUGCACCAGGCUCCUCAUGCUCCCGUAGGCUCUGUGGAUCUAGACUCACCAGAAGGGUGGAGUGAGCAGUGAGCCUUGCUCAAAGAAGGCGCCUCUACCGCGCCUUUCCCCACCCACAGGGGAAUGCGCCAACAGCUCCUGCAAGAGCCUGUCCUCCCUUUGCUGCUCUGCCCAGGACCCUCUCCCUGGGAAGCCUGGGGCUACCAUUUGGCUCUCUACUUGCUGAGUUCCUCCCACAUUAUUCUGCCAGACUUACAAAGCUUCUCUUCCAAGAAUAUUCUCCCCUGGGUAAUUGGACCCUCAGGCCAUUGACAUUUAAAGAAAUGUUCUUGACCUUUUCAGCAGUUCCAUAAAAUCACAAAAUAGAACUCUAAAUAUUACUGCAGACUCCUACUUGCCCAGACCCUGGCAGAGACUCAUUUUCCAGACUAACUCAAGAAUGAGAGAAAACAGUGAAAUUCCCACCAAAAAAGGGGUUCAUCUCAAACAUCUCCCUUUUGGUAAUCAUUCCACUAUGGCCCACUAUUAUCUGCCUCAGGAUUCUGUCCUCCACCACUGCCAUUAUCACCAGCACAUCCUAUCCACCACCACCACCCAUGACCACCAUUGCAGGGUUCACCAUCAUCAUCUUAAUUACCUCCUUACAUAAAAGAUGCAGAAUUUAUGCUCUUGAAUCUUCACAUUGUGAAAGGUCUGCUUGUGUUUUACAUGUUUGAUCCAGGACCUCUCUCCACUUCUCAUCUUCCCCCAUUGGUAUGGAACCAGAUGAAACAAUGGAGAGAGAAGGACCAACUACUGGCUCUAGAGGGAGACACAACAGAGGACAGAACCGUGGGAGGAGAGAAUGAAUGUGUUAAAGAUAUACUGAGAAAAUCAAGAAAACUUGAAAAUAGAUUAGGUAUUAGAUGAGGAUCAUCCCUUACGUUUGCAGAGCUUGGGUCGAGAGUAGAAAUUUAAAUUAUUGGUCCAUAUGUUUCAAAAAAGUUUCAUCAUCUAAAACAGGAGUCUACAAACUCCAGUCCACAGGUCAAAUCCAGUCUUUGGCCUGUUUUUGUGGGACCCUUGAGCUAAAAAUGGUUUUUACAUUUUUAAAAAGAUUUGUUGAGAUAUAAUUCACACACCAUAAAGUUCACCUUUUUAGAGUGUAAAUUUCAGUGGUUUUCAGUAUAUUCAUAGAAUUGUACACCAUCAUCACUAUUUAAUUCCAGAAUACUUCAUCACCCCAAAAAGAAAUCUGUACCCAUUAGCAGUCACUGCCCAUUCCCCUAUCCCCCAGUCCCUGGCAACCAGUAAUCUACUUCCUGUCUCUAUGAAUUUACCUGUUCUGGACAUUUCAUAUAAAUGGAAUCAUACGACAUGUGGCCUGAUCUAUGUGAAUUCUUUUACUUAGCGUAAUGUUUUCAAGGUUCAUCCAUAUGAUAGCAUGUAGCAUAUGUGUAGCAUAUAUGAAUAGUAUUCCAUUGUAUGGAUAUAUCUGUGGUAUUUUCUGAUACCACUUAUGACCAAAUGUAUGGUUUUUCUCUCUGACACAAAAUACAUGUCAUUUUUCCACACCAACAACAAGCAAUUCUCAAACACCAACUGGGGGUCCAACAAUUCAAUUUGAUUCUAUCACUAACUGUCGGGAAUUAGCACAGACCCCACAGGUUCAGGGCUCAGUCCCACAGAACUUCCCCCACCUCAGAUGCGAGCCACAAAUGGGGUACCCAGGCAGGCUACUAACACUCCUUCCUCUCUGAGUACAAAUUCAGGAGCUUCCACCACCCCCCUCAGGUUCAAUAAUUCGCUAGAACAACUCACAGAACUCACAAAAAUGCUUUACUUACAAUUACUGGCUUAUUAUAAAGGAUACAAAUGAAGAGUCAAAUGGAAAGAUGCAUAGGGCGAGGUGUAGGGGGUGAGGCACAGAGCUUCUACACUCUCUCCAAGUGCCAUAUUCCCAACACACCCACAUGUUCACCAACCCAGAAGCUUCUGAAUCUCCCUGUUCAAGAGUUUUAAUAACCCAAUCUCUAGCUCCCCUCCCCUCCCUGGAGGUCAGGGGAUGGAGCUGAAAGUUUCCAACCUCUAAUCACAUGUUUGGUCUUUUUGGUGACCAGCCUCCAUCCUAAAGCUAUCUAGGGGCCACCCUGAGUCACCUCAUUAGCAUCAACUUGGGUGUAUUCUAAAGGGGCUCUAAGGAACAAUAAAAGGCACUCAUAUCAUUCA